rnacentral:lncRNA from 1 species
CACAUUAAAAAUAAUUAUAUAUUAUUUAAAAAUCAUUAUCAAAUAAGUUUACAAGAUGCCUAAUAUCAUAAAUUGAUUGUACUGUUCCUAAGACGUCAAAUAAUAUAAAUUCUACAACAUAGAAUGACAAGUCUAUAGUUUCCUAAUAAUCACCAUCAAGACGUCAAAUAAUAUAAAUUCUACAACAUAGAAUGACAAGUCUAUAGUUUCCUAAUAAUCACCAUCUUGGAGUUGAUCUUGUCAUUGAACUCCACCACCGUGAUAGGAACUUCACCACAUAUUGCUUUUUCUCUUGUCCUUAUUACACUACAAGAAAAAUCACAGUUAUAAAAACAAAAUGUCUAGCCUAUUACUCAGUUUCCCAUAGUGUGAAAUGUUAUAGGGCAAGAAGCUAUCAUCAUGUUAAUAGUUGUCAAAGCAGCAAUCUGCAACUGCUCAUAUACUAGCAUUAAAGCAACAAAAGCAAUUGCCCCACUAAAUUAAUAGAAAUUUAUUAUGUCACUUUUUGUAUGAGUCUAUACAUCAAUUUAUAAUUUUACAAAACUUAGCUCUUUAUUAAUGCAUUAACUUGCCAAAUAAGUCUAUAUAUAAGUUGAUUUUUUUAUUUGCGAGGAAGACUUUUUUUCUUAUUUUCUUUUCUUGAGAGUUUUUAUAAAAUUUUAUGAAAAGAAAUUCAACUAAUUAAUAACAAUUGAAUCCAAAUCUGCAACGAGAUUAUACUAAAAUCACAAGGGACAUUCAAACGUUCAUACAUCCAAAUAUAAUUAAUUUUGGAAC